UCUAGCUGCGCCUCGGUAAGGCCAAAUUAAAACGUGCCAAGCGUUUCAAUGCGGUCGCUUGGCUGCGAGAAGUUCAUUACUACAAGGACAGCUCAGCGGCGUUGAAUUGGACAUUAAUGCUUUCACAUCCACAACUCGUAAGAAGUGCUUAGGAAGAUUAAAUUUGAAGCGCAAGACGACGAAUACUCACCGGGCGUCCGAGCUGUGCGUGGUGGCAAGGGAACAUCUGGUGGCAGCGAGCCGCCUCCACCACCUCCACCACUUCCACCACCUCCAACAUCGCCGCCACCAAAAAUGUCCGCUCCUUCCGGCUCUUCAGCUGCACACAGAGGGAGAAUGGGAACUCAACGAACGAUGCCGCAAGACGAGGACGGUUGAUUGAGCGAGAAUGCCGUGUGACACUAGCCAAUGGUGCAGUGGACUGCAGGGGCUUCCCCCUGCAAGGAUAAUGGCCCACCCGAAUACUAAUAAAUCUUUCAUUCUCUGUCUCUGAGGGGGAA